ensembl:snoRNA small nucleolar RNA, H/ACA box 58B
GGGCAUACCCGUAGACCUUGUCUGACUGUGUUUGUGGCCAGGCGAGGGGGACAGUGUAUGCAAGAGUAACUUGGAGUUCGUGCCAGCUCUAGCCAGCUGAACCGGUGGCUGGAUAAAUUGCAGCACUCCCAACAUUG